rnacentral:rRNA from 1 species
AGUGAACGCUGGCGGUAGGCCUAACACAUGCAAGUCGAACGGCAGCACAGUAAGAGCUUGCUCUUACGGGUGGCGAGUGGCGGACGGGUGAGGAAUACAUCGGAAUCUACUUUUUCGUGGGGGAUAACGUAGGGAAACUUACGCUAAUACCGCAUACGACCUACGGGUGAAAGCAGGGGAUCUUCGGACCUUGCGCGAUUGAAUGAGCCGAUGUCGGAUUAGCUAGUUGGCGGGGUAAAGGCCCACCAAGGCGACGAUCCGUAGCUGGUCUGAGAGGAUGAUCCGCCACCCUGGAACUGAGACACGGUCCAGACUCCUACGGGAGGCAGCAGUGGGGAAUAUUGGACAAUGGGCGCAAGCCUGAUCCAGCCAUACCGCGUGGGUGAAGAAGGCCUUCGGGUUGUAAAGCCCUUUUGUUGGGAAAGAAAAGCAGCAGGUUAAUACCCCGCUGUUCUGACGGUACCCAAAGAAUAAGCACCGGCUAACUUCGUG